rnacentral:rRNA from 1 species
UACAGAGACUGCAAGCGUUAUUCGGAAUUAUUGGGCUUAAAGGGUGCGUAGGCGGCGCUUUAAGUCGGGUGUGAAAUCCUUCGGCUCAACCGAAGAAUUGCGCCCGAUACUGGAGUGCUAGAGGGAGACAGGGGUGAGCGGAACUGAUGGUGGAGCGGUGAAAUGCGUUGAUAUCAUCAGGAACACCGGUGGCGAAAGCGGCUCACUGGGUCUCUUCUGACGCUGAGGCACGAAAGCCAGGGUAGCGAACGGG